GAAAUAUUUGCACAAAUAUUUUUUUCCGCACGACGGGAACGCGGGAUCGAAACGGUGCCGCGCUUGGUAUUCCACGGGACCGGCGAUCGCGCAGGACGGGUGUGCGGCACCGUCUCGCUCCCGCAGCUUAGGAGAGCGGCAGCGUGGCGGAGGGCGGCACCAAGCGGGACGGAGCCGGUCGCGCGGCGCCAUGGCGCGGGACCUUGCGCGGCACUGAUGCGCGGGACUGUGCUUGUCGCGCAGCGCCGUGGUGCGGGACCGCCCUCCAGCGAGUCCAUGUGA
rnacentral:lncRNA from 1 species